CCCGCCCCUACGCCCGAGUCCGGCGGCAGCUCCGGAGCAGCGGCGUGUGGCUGCAGGGGACAGCCAAGUCUAGCGGAGCCAUGCCCACGAACUUUACCGUAGUGCCGGUGGAGGCGCGCACCGACGGCUCUGGGGACGAGGCUGCUGAGCGUACGGAGGAACCGGGGUCCCCCGAGAGUGCGGAUUCUGCCUGCCCUACCUCGGGAGAUGGAAACCCCAGGGAAAACAGCCCAUUCAUCAAUAAUGUGGAGGUGGAAAGAGAGAGCUACUUUGAGGGGAAGAACAUGGCACUUUUCGAGGAAGAGAUGGACAGCAACCCCAUGGUGUCAUCGCUGCUGAACAAACUGGCCAACUAUACCAACCUGAGCCAGGGUGUGGUGGAGCAUGAGGAAGAUGAGGACAGCCGGAGGCGGGAGAUCAAGGCCCCACGCAUGGGCACCUUCAUUGGCGUCUACUUGCCCUGCCUGCAGAACAUCUUGGGUGUUAUCCUUUUCCUGCGCCUGACCUGGAUUGUGGGGGCAGCUGGUGUGCUGGAGUCCUUCCUCAUCGUGUCCAUGUGCUGUACCUGUACAAUGCUGACUGCCAUCUCUAUGAGUGCCAUCGCGACCAACGGUGUAGUCCCAGCGGGCGGCUCAUACUACAUGAUCUCCCGUUCACUGGGACCUGAGUUUGGAGGGGCUGUAGGCCUCUGCUUCUAUCUGGGCACAACAUUUGCAGGCGCCAUGUACAUCCUGGGUACCAUCGAGAUCUUCCUGACCUACAUCUCUCCAAGUGCAGCCGUCUUCCAGGCAGAGUCAGCAGAUGGUGAGGCGGCGGCGCUGCUGAACAACAUGCGUGUGUAUGGCAGCUGCGCGCUGGCGCUGAUGGCAGUCGUGGUCUUCGUGGGCGUCAAAUACGUCAACAAACUGGCGUUGGUCUUCUUAGCCUGUGUUGUGCUUUCCAUCAUGGCCAUCUAUGCUGGGGUCAUCAAGACAGCCUUCGCCCCACCUGACAUCCCGGUCUGUCUGCUUGGGAACCGCACGCUGGCAAAACGCAGCUUUGAGACCUGUGCCAAAACGCAGGUUGUCAGCAACGGCACAGUGACCACUGCACUCUGGCGCCUCUUCUGCAAUGGCUCUAGCCUGAGUGCCACCUGUGACGAGUACUUUGUACAGAAUAAUGUCACUGAGAUCCAGGGCAUCCCUGGAGUGGCCAGCGGUGUCUUCCUGGACAACCUGUGGAGCACAUAUUCGGACAAGGGGGCAUUUGUGGAAAAGAAGGGUGUGUCCUCAGUACCCGUGUCUGAGGAGAGCCGGCCUGGCGCGUUGCCAUACGUCCUCACGGACAUCAUGACCUACUUCACCAUGCUAGUUGGCAUCUACUUCCCCUCCGUAACAGGGAUCAUGGCAGGAUCCAACCGCUCUGGGGACCUCAAAGACGCCCAGAAGUCCAUCCCAACAGGGACCAUUCUGGCCAUCGUGACCACGUCUUUCAUUUAUCUUUCCUGCAUAGUGCUAUUUGGGGCCUGCAUCGAGGGUGUGGUCUUGCGAGAUAAGUUUGGGGAGGCCCUGCAAGGGAACCUGGUCAUUGGCAUGCUGGCCUGGCCAUCCCCCUGGGUCAUCGUCAUUGGCUCCUUCUUCUCCACCUGUGGUGCUGGCCUACAGAGCCUGACUGGGGCCCCCCGCUUGCUGCAGGCCAUCGCCCGCGAUGGCAUCAUCCCUUUCCUGCAGGUGUUUGGCCAUGGAAAGGCCAAUGGGGAGCCCACGUGGGCCCUGCUGCUCACAGCCCUCAUCUGUGAGACGGGCAUUCUCAUCGCCUCCCUGGACAGCGUGGCCCCCAUCCUGUCCAUGUUCUUCCUCAUGUGCUACAUGUUCGUGAAUCUGGCCUGUGCUGUCCAGACCCUGCUGCGCACACCCAACUGGCGCCCACGUUUCAAGUUCUACCACUGGACCCUCUCCUUCCUCGGGAUGAGUCUCUGCCUCGCCCUGAUGUUCAUCUGCUCCUGGUACUACGCCCUCUUCGCAAUGCUCAUCGCUGGCUGCAUCUACAAGUACAUCGAGUACCGCGGGGCUGAAAAGGAGUGGGGUGAUGGCAUCAGGGGCCUGUCACUGAAUGCUGCCCGCUAUGCCCUCCUGCGUGUGGAACACGGGCCCCCACAUACCAAGAACUGGAGGCCCCAGGUGCUGGUGAUGCUGAACCUGGAUUCUGAGCAGUGUGUGAAGCACCCCCGCCUGCUGUCCUUCACCUCGCAGCUGAAGGCUGGCAAGGGCCUGACCAUCGUGGGUUCUGUGCUAGAGGGCACCUUCUUAGACAAGCAUGUGGAGGCCCAGAGGGCUGAAGAGAACAUCCGGUCUCUGAUGGGUGCAGAGAAGACCAAAGGCUUCUGCCAACUGGUGGUGUCCUCCAACCUGCGAGAUGGCGCAUCUCACCUGAUCCAGUCAGCUGGCCUCGGCGGCAUGAAACACAACACUGUCCUCAUGGGCUGGCCAGAGUCCUGGAAGCAGGCAGAUAACCCUUUCUCCUGGAAGAACUUUGUGGACACCGUCCGUGAUACUACGGCAGCACACCAGGCAUUGCUGGUGGCCAAAAACAUUGACUUGUUCCCGCAGAACCAAGAGCGCUUCAGUGACGGGAACAUUGACGUGUGGUGGAUUGUGCAUGACGGGGGCAUGCUCAUGCUGCUGCCCUUCCUGCUGCGCCAGCACAAGGUGUGGCGAAAGUGCCGGAUGCGCAUCUUCACUGUAGCCCAGGUGGAUGACAACAGCAUCCAGAUGAAGAAGGACCUGCAGAUGUUCCUCUACCACCUCAGGAUCAGUGCCGAGGUGGAGGUGGUGGAGAUGGUUGAAAACGACAUUUCUGCAUUCACCUAUGAGAAGACACUAAUGAUGGAGCAGAGGUCACAGAUGCUGAAACAGAUGCAGCUGUCGAAAAAUGAGCGGGAGAGAGAGGCCCAGCUGAUUCACGACAGGAACACAGCAUCCCACACCACAGCAGCUGCUAGAACCCAAGCCCCACCAACGCCCGACAAAGUGCAGAUGACGUGGACAAAAGAGAAGCUCAUUGCAGAGAAACACAGGAACAAGGACACCAGUGCAUCAGGCUUCAAAGACCUCUUCAGCCUCAAGCCGGACCAGUCCAACGUCAGGAGGAUGCACACGGCUGUGAAGCUCAAUGGUGUGGUCCUCAACAAGUCCCAGGAUGCACAGCUGGUCCUGCUGAAUAUGCCAGGCCCUCCGAAAAAUCGUCAGGGAGAUGAGAACUACAUGGAGUUUCUUGAGGUCUUGACUGAAGGGCUGAACAGGGUCCUCCUGGUCAGGGGUGGCGGCCGGGAAGUCAUCACCAUCUACUCCUAACACCUGUAGCCUGGACACACCUGGAUGGGGUCAGGACUAUGCUUAGCAGCCUAUGGCCAGGCUCGGGCCCACCAGCACGCCUCUGACCGGUGGCCACUGCCCUACCAAGAUGUCGCGGUGAUUCUGGUCACUCUGCCACACAUGGCUUCCCACAGACAUAACACCCGUAGCCCUCCUCCAAGCAGGAGAUGCUCCAGGGGCAGUGCCUAGAGCUGUUCUGACAGGAGUGGCUCCUUGUGUCCUUGUGGGCAGUGGUAGGUCAGCUCUUCCCACUACAGGCAGGGCCUCGCCUCCAGAUACUAGUAUCACUUGUCUGUGGAAGACUGUCCAGUAUUUUGUGGCAGUUACAUUUCAUUUCCACCCUGUCUAGAACAUGUGAACGUACGCACAGUUCCCUGGGGCUAGAAUGUCAGUGAGCUGUUCCCCAUUGGCUUCUGCCACCUCUGUUUCUUGGAGUGUCCUUGCUGUGCUUUCUGUACUGUAAGCAAGCUGAGGCCUGUCCACUCUUCCUCCUCAUUCCCUGCCCACACUCCUCAGGCACGGCUCAGGGUACCCCUGGAAAGUGAGACAGUGUUUACAGGGUGGGAGUGGGUCACCCUUUGGGUGGGUGGUGCCUGCCAGCUGUGUUCCCAUCUGGGUUAAUAAUGCCCUAGGCGCUCCUGCAGAGCCAGGGAUGUCUGCAGCCAGUCUGCUUCCUCUUCUCACGGGAACCCAGCCCCUCUAUUUCCUAAGCACUGAGCUGGGAACCUCAAGCAGGUGACCACAGAGCCCCACAGUGUGACGAGCAAACAGCAGGAGCUCUGAGGAGUCUGCACACAGUCCAUGACGACAGGAGCCUCCCAGAGUGUGAACCACGAGGGGGCGCAGCGCACCACUUUGCACGUAUGACAUGCCGUCCCACCCUCCUGGGGAGAGCACGCCCCGGCAUCCGCAGCCAUGGCCCUGGGUCUUUCUGGCCGAGUCUCUUGUCCCCUGCCGUGGAUAGCCUCACUUAGCUGGGGCCACAGGCACCUCUGUACUUUCAAGAACCCGACAUGAUUUGCACUGUCCCCUUGUGCACUCUGCUCUGUAGGUCACGGUCUGUUCAAAGGCUGCGGGCAACAGCAGCCAUCAGUCCCUCGUGUUCUGUAUGGCAUAUUUAUUUAUUUAACCCUCUCUGGGGAAGCUUGGUAGAGAUAUCAUCUGUGUGGAUGCUCCAUGCUGCCAGGCCCUGGGUCAUCUCCGGCUUCCCCCCAAGAGAAUCAAUCCUGUCCGUAUUCAGGAAGUCCCCGUGAGGGUAGAGGCCAAGAGUGCACCUGUACAGGUUCCUCAGACUUCGUUAGCCACUUGGAGGUCAGCUGGCCAGAGUAACCACUGCCAAGCUCGUGUCCCCAUCAGUAUAGUGGCUUCCACUCCGGAUUUGACUCAGCUUUGACUUUGGUUCAGACCCUAAAUAGCCAGAGCAGAGCAGGUGAGGUGCCUCUGCCAGCAGUUGGGAACGCCCUAGGUGGCAGGCCUUUCCAGGUUCUGGGUCACUGCUCACAAGAGCCCCCAUCAGAGUGUCCUGCAUCCUUUCUCUUGCAAACUCUGUGCUCCUGGUAACUGUGGCCAUUUGAAUCAGUUUCACAUUUUCCUUUUUAUAGGCUUUUGUCUUUGUAUGACUUUGUUUUAGUAGAAGAGUAAAGUUCUACGAAAUGUGCCACCAACCCCCACGGAGACACCGUCCUGGUACCCGGCGCAGAGUAGACUAAAUAUCACACUGCGGUUUUACUUCUGGAUGGUCAUGGAGUCCCUGCGUCAACCCUGGCCAAGUUACUGCACCUCAGUAGACCCACCAUCCCCAACUACAUUUGCAGACACUAGUGACCUCAUCCACAAGCAAUCGGGGGUGGAUGAGGGAGGCAGUCUCACUAUGUAUAGUUAUCUAAACGAGCUGACUUUUGUUUUGGCUUUUCUUUUUUCAUUUUGUUUACAAAUGCUUUCCCAUCUCUGUAAGCUUCAUACAUGUAGCCUACCCUCAUACAUGUAGCAUAGCCUCAUACAUGUAGCCCAGCCUUGUACAUGUAGCACUGCCACGGAGAACCCUGCUAUCUAAGGCUUGGUCCUUAAGCUGGAUGGAGUGGUAUGGACUCCUCUGCUUAACAUUCUCAUAGUAGUGGGUGCUUGGCCUUUAUCACGAGUUUAUUAGGACUUCUACCUGCCCUGAAUUUCUAAAACAUAACGUUCUGACUUGCUUGGCAGGAUCUCCCCACUUCUAGGUGUUCAGCUGAACCAUGGCCCAAGGUGUCAUUGGGAUAUCCUGUGUGAUAUCUCUCGGCCUGAAUGCUGUAUUCUGAGUAACCAGCUGGGUGGCCAUGAUGAUUCCUGCUCAGUCCCUCUGCUGCGUGUGAGUGAUGGAGCCGUACAUGUGUACCAUCUCCACAUCCAUGACGUAAGGGUGGCACACGCUAGUCUUUUGGUAUUCAGGAGCAUGUGUGUGAUUUCUACCUGUGAAGUGACCAGCAGCAGUAGCCUUCUGAGGGCUCCUAUGCAUGUGAGACAGCUCACGGGAGACGUCACACUCAGAUCUCCAGGAGUUCCAUAGGGUUUAGUGUUUAAGGAGAGAGGAUAAAGUGUUGCUUCUCAGCAGUCUGCAUAAGCCGUGGCCAUGGUGGAUAUGGUGCCAGUGUUCCUGUUAGCAUGAGCUGAAUUCUAGGUUUAGGGUUCUGAUUUUCCUUAGACCAAUCCAAAUAUAUAUCUUAGAAGAAUUACUAUGGAGUUGUGAACAUCAACCAACAUUAGCCAAGAUGGUUCUACAGCACUCAGCCUUCAUAACACGUACCUGUCAUCUUCACCAGUAGCUACAAGGUAUAGAUAGACUGACCACAGCGCUCAGAAAAGUCUGUUUUAAUACAAGGUAUGGCAUGUUACAGAAUGCACUAUUUCAUAUAUGCUAAGAAGGCAUAAUGCCACCUGUACAAACUCAACGAGAGGUAAAAAUUGCCUUUACAGGAUCCUGUUCUGGUGGAGUCAAAAGACCAUGGCUUGUUAAGGUUCCCACACCCUUGCAGCCCUCGUAGAAGGGACACUUAGGUGUCAGUUGGCUAUGGUACAAGAAUAUGAGCACAGCCUAGGUGAGGGCCUCCAGCGUGGUAGCUGAUCCUUCUCAACCUGUCUGUGUCUUCUCUGCAUCUACCUGGGAUGCUGGAAGCUCUGGAGACCAAGCCUUGUGCUGCCCGCUAAACAUCACCCUGCCGCUCUGCUCACUCAUGCCCCCUCCACAUCUGCUGAUACCCUGCCCUCUUUGUUUUCUUUGCUUGACAUCAUGUGGGAAACUAAGGUGCACUGAAGAACCACUUGGCAAGC